GAGCUUAUAAAUACCACUGAUCUCCAGCUACACUCUCAUAUAUUCUUACAUAUACAUAUAGGAUCACAAGCAGGUACCAAGACACAGAAAAAUGAAGCCGAUGGCGCUUAUUUUCAUAACCAUGUUGCUGUGUUCUUGCCUAGUGCUUCAAGGAAGAGCACAGAGAGAGAUGGUUCAUGUUAAUUAUCCAGAUAGCUACAUAGACAACCACCACAAUAUUCCAAGACAGAAUUUCAAUUCGCAAGGUGGUGGGAAUGGAGGAGAUGCUGGUGAUGAUGAUACCGAUAAUGGAAGAGGAUGAAUCGAGUUUCUUAAACUAUAUAUGUUAUGUUCGCCAGAAAAUGCUAAAAGGGUUAUUUCUGGUGAAUCUAAUGUGUGCUAAGAGUGGUAAUUUAUGCAUGUUUUUCUACUCAUUGCAACUUUUGUUUCUACUCAUAUAUGUAUGUAGAGGAUGAACAUAAUAUCUCUAGCUAUGUGCAAACACAUGAUUAUAGAGAUAUAUAUGAUUGCAUGAUAUGUAAAUACCGGGUUUUGGAGAUUAUAUAUAUGUGUGUAUUGAGAGUUGAAUGAUUCAAAGUUUGCUGCUGAAGUAAAGGAAGAUUUAGUCUUUUA